rnacentral:misc_RNA from 1 species
GUCAAAGUAAUUCUUUCGAAGUUCUUUUUUUUAAUUUUUAAAUGGUAGUUAUUCUUUUGAACUUUUAGAAAAUCAACAUGUAUCACAUAUCUUGUGGCUAUUUUCUCGAUAUCUUCCUCGUCCUUCUUGUUUUAUGUUGCGUGGUGGGUGGAUGGAGCUUCCUUUUCUUGCCGAGUUCAGAAGCAUCUAUAUCCCUGUAUAUCUUAAAGGUUCCACAGAGUAUAAAUU